GCAUCAGUGGUUUAGUGGUAAAAUCCAUCGUUGCCAUCGAUGGGCCCCGUGUUCGCUUACGGCUGAUGCA
rnacentral:tRNA from 1 species